rnacentral:rRNA from 1 species
GAUGAACGCUGGCGGCGUGCCUAAUACAUGCAAGUCGAGCGAACAGACGAGGAGCUUGCUCCUUUGACGUUAGCGGCGGACGGGUGAGUAACACGUAGGUAACCUACCUAUAAGACUGGGAUAACUUCGGGAAACCGGAGCUAAUACCGGAUAAUAUUUCGAACCGCAUGGUUCGAUAGUGAAAGAUGGCUUUGCUAUCACUUAUAGAUGGACCUGCGCCGUAUUAGCUAGUUGGUAAGGUAACGGCUUACCAAGGCAACGAUACGUAGCCGACCUGAGAGGGUGAUCGGCCACACUGGAACUGAGACACGGUCCAGACUCCUACGGGAGGCAGCAGUAGGGAAUCUUCCGCAAUGGGCGAAAGCCUGACGGAGCAACGCCGCGUGAGUGAUGAAGGUCUUCGGAUCGUAAAACUCUGUUAUUAGGGAAGAACAAACGUGUAAGUACCUGUGCACGUCUUGACGGUACCUAAUCAGAAAGCCACGGCUAACUACGUG